CAAUGUAUUUGAAUAUUCCAUAUUCUCAAUAUUCUAUCAUCUCAUUCAAAACCGAAGCCACCAGAUAAUUUAUAUAAUUGAUAAGCCUAAGGUCAUAUAAAUAUUAUUGAAUUCCAAAAGUAAGUUACUUUUGCAUCUGCGCAAUAAAAAAUGCAACAGUUCUUAAAUAAUUCCAAAUUGAUGCUGUCGUGGAUGUGCGAUGGCGAAACCCAUAUUGUCAAACAAUGCAACAGGAUCAAUGAACUUGGAAAAUGUGACGGAAAGUGGACCAACCUGUUUCACUAGAAAACAAAAAAUGUUCACAGUAUUUGUAGCUGCGAUUGCUAUUAGCAUAUUAGUUUGUUAUAUAACGAUUACUACAAUACGUUAUGUUUAUAAAUAGUUGUUAGUAAAAGUAAUACUAAAAUUUAAAA